rnacentral:rRNA from 1 species
AUCUACGGCCAUGCCACCCUGAACAAGCCCAAUCCCAUCUCAUCUUGGAAGCUAAGCAAGGAUGGGCCCGGUUAGUACUUGGAUAGGAGACCACCUAGGAAGACCAGGUGCUAUAGGCA